UACGUAGGCAGCAAGCGUUGUUCGGAAUUACUGGGCGUAAAGAGUGUGUAGGCGGUGUUCUAAGUUUGUCGUGAAAUCUCCCGGCUUAACUGGGAGGGUGCGGCGAAAACUGGAAUGCUAGAGGAUGGGAGAGGUAAGCGGAAUUCCUGGUGUAGCGGUGAAAUGCGUAGAUAUCCGGAGGAACACCAGCGGCGAAGGCGGCUUUCUGGUCCGAUUCUGACGCUGAGGCGCGAAAGCGUGGGGAGCGAUCCGG
rnacentral:rRNA from 1 species